rnacentral:rRNA from 1 species
AUCAGAGCUUUCCAUGUCCGUCUCAACGGCAGCAUGAUCUUGCUUGCUAGAUUGAUGGCAAGUGACGGACGGGUGAGUAACGCGUACGAAUAUGCCUUGAACAGGGGGAUAACCUGAGGAAACUCAGGCUAUUACCGCGUAAUCUCUGAGGACAAAAGCUGGGGACCUUAUGGCCUGCCGCUUCAUGAAUAUCCUGCGUUCGAUUAGCUCUUUGGUGCGGUAAAGGCCUACCAAGGCUACCAUCGAUAGCUGGUCUGAGAGGAUGAUCAGCCACACUGGGACUGACACCCCGCCCAGACUCCUACGGGAGGCAGCCUUGGGGAAUAUUGGACAAUGGGGGCAACCCUGAUCCACCAAUGCCGCGUGUGUGAAAAACGCCUGAUGGUUGUAUUCCACUUUCAAUGGGGAUUAAGCUUGAUAGGUAAAGACCUAAUUAAGCGGACGUUACCCACACAACAACCUCCGGCUAACUCCGUGCCAGCAUCCGCGCUUAUACUGAUGGUGCGAGCGUUAAUCUGAAUUACUGGGCGUAAAUGGUGCGUAUGUUGUUCAUUAACUUAUCUCUGAACUUCCCAGUCUUAACCUGUGCUGCUCAGAUUCUACUGGUGGACUAGAGUAUAGGAGAGGGUAUUGGAAUUUCCGGUGUACCUGUGAAAUGCGUAAAUAUCGUAACGAACACCAUUGGCUAAUGCUGCUCCAUGGCCUACUACUGACACUGAGGCACGAAAGCGUGAGUAGCAAACUGAUUAUAUACCCUGGUACUCACGCUGUAACGAUGUCACUAGCUGUUUGUCAUAAAUGUGACUAUGCCGUAGCUAACCCGCUAGUUGAUCGCCUGCGAGUAAGACUGCAAGAUUAAACCUCAUGCAAUUGAACGGGGCCCCGCUCACCCCGUGUGGAUC